AUUGAAUGCUGGCGGCAGGCUUAACACAUGCAAGUCGAGCGAGCGGCGGACGGGUGAGUAAUGUCUGGGAACGUGCCUGAUGGAGGGGGAUAACUACUGGAAACGGUAGCUAAUACCGCAUACCAUCAGAUGUGUCCAGAUGGGAUUAGCUAGUAGGUGGGGUAAUGGCUCAUCUAGGCGCCGAUCCCUAGCUGGUCUGAGAGUAUGACCAGCCCCACUGGAACUGAGACACGGUCCGGACUCCUACGGGAGGCAGCAGUGGGGAAUAUUGCACAAUGGGCGCAAGCCUGAUGACGCCAUGCCGCGUGUGUGAAGAAGGCCUUCGGGUUGUAGAGCACUUUCAGCGAGGAGGCGUUACUCGCAGAAGAAGCACCGGCUAACUCCGUGCCAGCAGCCGCGGUAAUUC
rnacentral:rRNA from 1 species